rnacentral:sRNA from 1 species
CUUGACCUCAAAUCGAGUAGGACUACCCGCUGAACUUAAGCAUAUCAAUAAGCGGAGGAAAAGAAACUAACAAGGAUUCCCCUAGUAACGGCGAGUGAAGAGGGAAGAGCUCAAAUUUUGAAUCUGGCGUCUUUGGCGUCCGAGUUGUAAUCUAAAGAAGUGUUUUCCGUGACGGACCGUGCAUAAGUCUCCUGGAAUGGAGCGUCAUAGAGGGUGAGAAUCCCGUAUAUGGCACGGACUCCCGUUACUUCUGUGAUACACUCUCAACGAGUCGAGUUGUUUGGGAAUGCAGCUCCAAAUGGGUGGUAAAUGCCAUCUAAAGCUAAAUAUUGGCGAGAGACCGAUAGCGAACAAGUACCGUGAGGGAAAGAUGGAAAGCACUUUGGAAAGAGAGUGAAACAGUACGUGAAAUUGUUGAAAGGGAAACGCUUGAAGUCAGUCACGCCCUUUGGGAUUCAGCCUUGCUUCUGCUUGGUUUACUUCCCUUUGGGUGGGUCAACAUCAGUUUUGGUCGGAGGAGAAAGGCUUGGGGAAGGUAGCAACAUUCGUGUUGUGUUAUAGCCCCUCGUUGUAUACUUCGACUGGGACUGAGGACCGCAGCACGCCUCUGGCCGGGGUUCGCCCACGUACGUGCUUAGGAUGUUGGCAUAAUGGCUUUAAGCGACCCGUCUUGAAACACGGACC